GCGGUAAUACCAGCUCUCCGAGUGGUGGGGACGAUUAUUGGGCUUAAAGCGUUCGUAGCCGGCUCAGCAAGUCUUUCGUUAAAUCCAGCGAUCUAAUCGUUGGACUGCGGGAGAUACUGUUGGGCUAGGGGGCGGGAGAGGCCGACGGUAUUCUCGGGGUAGGGGUGAAAUCCUAUAAUCCCGG
rnacentral:rRNA from 1 species